rnacentral:rRNA from 1 species
GUAGGGUGCAAGCGUUAAUCGGAAUUACUGGGCGUAAAGCGUGCGCAGGCGGUUUUGUAAGACAGGCGUGAAAUCCCCGGGCUCAACCUGGGAAUGGCGCUUGUGACUGCAAGGCUGGAGUGCGGCAGAGGGGGAUGGAAUUCCGCGUGUAGCAGUGAAAUGCGUAGAUAUGCGGAGGAACACCGAUGGCGAAGGCAAUCCCCUGGGCCUGCACUGACGCUCAUGCACGAAAGCGUGGGGAGCAAAC